rnacentral:rRNA from 2 species
UACGUAGGGGGCAAGCGUUAUCCGGAUUUACUGGGUGUAAAGGGAGCGUAGACGGCUUUGCAAGCCAGAUGUGAAAGGCAGGGGCUCAACCCCUGGACUGCAUUUGGAACUGCGAGGCUAGAGUGUCGGAGAGGCAAGUGGAAUUCCUAGUGUAGCGGUGAAAUGCGUAGAUAUUAGGAGGAACACCAGUGGCGAAGGCGGCUUGCUGGACGAUGACUGACGUUGAGGCUCGAAAGCGUGGGGAGCAAACAGG